GCGAUCGAUCCCGGCCCGGCUGCCUGGGUUCCUGGCAUGCUGAUUUGUGACUUAAGAGAAAAAUCACAUUGCCAGGGAUAACCACGCAUCCGGGACCGCCCCCCGCCGC